rnacentral:lncRNA from 1 species
GCCGCUCCAUGCUGGGGGACCAGAUGCCUCUGUUUACGCCGCUCUCCUCCCAGCCUUCUGCCGGCCGGUCGGCAGCAAGACAGAGCCCGGGAGCCCGUCACUGGGCUUCAGCUGUCUCCCCAGUCUUGUCUUUCAAUAUAUUCUCUCCUCUACCCCUUUUUGUCUCCACACCCCCUUCCCCAAAUGGCCAGAAGGGGUAUCCCUCUUUUUCAAGUUUGACCCAAUAGAACAAAGCGGAGAAAGACUAACCAGGGCGACUUUGAUUCCUGCCAUCCUCGAAACAACACAGUGUUCAAAGAUCAGGCCGGCCCGGCGCGGUGGCUCAAGCCUAUCUGAGAAGUUUCUUGAAGACCAUCAGCAUCUUCAGUGGGCGACUGGAAGAUACACUGUGGUUACCUGGGAGGCAGCCCAGCCUGGACCAGCAACCCAACCUGCUUCUUCAGAGCAAAACAAGAACUAGGAAUCAUCUUUUCACCUGGGAAGGAAUCAAGUAAAAAGCAAAAUUGAACUAAAGGUUGUUUACCUUUCAAACUUGGUGGCCAUGUUGUGAGGAAGCCCAAGUGACAUGAGGAGUUCCCGUGGAGGUGUGCUGCUGACAGCCCCAGGUGAGAGCUCAGCCAAGAAUCAGCACAACACUGUGAGUGCAAACAUGUGAGUGAGUGAGCUUGCAGAGGAUGUGAUCCCACCUAGGAUGUCAGCAUUCAAGACACCCUAGCUGACACUGAGUGAGUAUAGGUGAAGAACAUUUACAACAGUGAUAAUAGAAAACUUGUCAUAAGUUUUUAAUUUGUGCUGUAAUUACACUCUGAUAUUCCCAAAUCUUCAAUAAAAAUCCAUUGUACAGUAAAA